GUGUCAUUUGAGGGUAUAAUGGUGACAUUUGAGGUGUAGUGGUGACAUCUGAGGGUAUAGUGGUGACAUUUGAGGGUGUAGUGGUGACAUUUGAGGGUAUAGUGGUGACAUUUGAGGGUGUAGUGGUGACAUUUGAGGGUAUAGUGGUGACAUUUGAGGGUGUAGUGGUGACAUCUGAGGGUAUAGUGGUGACAUUUGAGGGUGCAGUGGUGACAUUUGAGGGUAUUGUGGUGACAUUUGGGGUAUAGUGGUGACAUCUGAGGGUAUAGUGGUGACAUUUG